rnacentral:rRNA from 1 species
GGGGGGGGGGGGGCUAUACAUGCAAGUCGAGCGGACAGAAGGGAGCUUGCUCCCGGAUGUUAGCGGCGGACGGGUGAGUAACACGUGGGUAACCUGCCUGUAAGACUGGGAUAACUCCGGGAAACCGGAGCUAAUACCGGAUAGUUCCUUGAACCGCAUGGUUCAAGGAUGAAAGACGGUUUCGGCUGUCACUUACAGAUGGACCCGCGGCGCAUUAGCUAGUUGGUGAGGUAACGGCUCACCAAGGCGACGAUGCGUAGCCGACCUGAGAGGGUGAUCGGCCACACUGGGACUGAGACACGGCCCAGACUCCUACGGGAGGCAGCAGUAGGGAAUCUUCCGCAAUGGACGAAAGUCUGACGGAGCAACGCCGCGUGAGUGAUGAAGGUUUUCGGAUCGUAAAGCUCUGUUGUUAGGGAAGAACAAGUGCAAGAGUAACUGCUUGCACCUUGACGGUACCUAACCAGAAAGCCACGGCUAACUACGUGCCAGCAGCCGCGGUAAUACGUAGGUGGCAAGCGUUGUCCGGAAUUAUUGGGCGUAAAGGGCUCGCAGGCGGUUUCUUAAGUCUGAUGUGAAAGCCCCCGGCUCAACCGGGGAGGGUCAUUGGAAACUGGGAAACUUGAGUGCAGAAGAGGAGAGUGGAAUUCCACGUGUAGCGGUGAAAUGCGUAGAGAUGUGGAGGAACACCAGUGGCGAAGGCGACUCUCUGGUCUGUAACUGACGCUGAGGAGCGAAAGCGUGGGGAGCGAACAGGAUUAGAUACUUUGUUUUAUUCAAAAAA